AGAGCUCUGACCUUCACCUAGAUCUGGCAGCUGCUGGCAACAGGGAAGCAGGAUGUUUUGUAUCCAAACUGGUGCUCACUCUCUGUCAACCUAAGGUUUGCUGUCAGAUAAAUAUGGAUGGAAUCUCCCCUAAGCCUACGAAAAUCUCUUUAAUGAAUCAUCUGCUACAUCCUAGCAAGAUUUAAUUAGUUUAUCAUACAUCCAGAAGGACUCUAGGAUUUCGGAACAAGAGGAAUAAGUUCUAUGCCUUCUGCUUUGUAACAACUGUGAAGAUCUUCAGCAGCCAUGGAUUUUCUGUCCUUUUUGAUCCAGUUCAUUACAUCUGACAAUGCACUUCAAGUCUAUGCUGUCAACUGUGAAGAAAAGGAAGGAUAGAAAGUGAAUGCAAAAGCAAAUCACAUCUGACUGCAUACCUAGGAAAAUGUAAAUGACCUUCUUUUCCUCCUGUUAUUCCGGGACUUGGAAAUCAAAAGUAAAAAACAUCUGUGUGGCAACGUAAGGGUGAGAAAAGAUGUUGUAUAUACCGUUGUAAUUGAUGAAAGAGAUUGUCUCUAGUUGACACUAGCAGGCACAAAAAGUGUGGAAAUGCUGUACUAGUAAAGGCACUAAAGAUUCAGAAAGCAUGCUAGUUGUGGGCAGUACACAGAUUAAUUCCUAGUCUCUAAAACACUGUUUGCUGUACAGUGUAAGCACUGGUUGUUUGCACUACUAUUUAAUGUUGCAGAUAUUUAUUGAUGACAAAAUGGGACCUGCCUCCGUGAGGUAAAAGAUCUUCUGUGUAUGAGUUUGAUCCUGAGGCCAAGUUUAGGAAUGUAUAUUUCCACAAACAGAAUAAUCUCUUCAUCUGAGAGAUGCAGAGCAGA